rnacentral:lncRNA from 10 species
CACUGAUUUCUAAUAUGCAAAAUAAGAUUAGUAUAUAUUCUUCUAGUGAAAUCUUGUGACCUUUCUUAUAAAUGAGAUAAAUUUAUAGAUAAUUCUACAUAUUUGUAUGAUUUUCUAAAGCACAUGGCAGCUGCCAUCUCAUUUAAUUCUCACAUCAACCCUAUGAGGUAAGUACUAUUAUGAUCCUUAUGUUAUAUAGGGAGAGAGAGGCAGAUACAUUGGCUUAUAAAUAUUCAGUAGGACUUUUUGUCUUGAUAGGAAGAAGAAGAAAGGAAGUCCGUAUGGAUCAGCAGAGGCUCAGAAAACAGACUGUUGGAAGCAGAUUAAAUAUCCCUUUGCCAGACAUCAGUCAGCUGAGUUUACCAUCAGCUAUGAUAAUGAGAAGGA